rnacentral:lncRNA from 1 species
UCUGGUAUUUUUCAUAUUCUAUCAGUAAGAAACCCUAUGAUUUCUUGGCCACCAAUCCCAAAAAGGAAAGAAAGGAGGCGCUAGGAUUUCUAGUGCCCUCCUUUGUGCAAGCCCCCUUUUGUGUGCCCCUUCUUGACUGUCCAAGAGGAGUUUCAUGCCCCCAUCUUUUAUUUUUUGGAGGCCUCAUCAAGGGUGCUUCUAGAUCUCAAAAGGAGGA